GACGAACGCUGGCGGCGUGCCUAAUACAUGCAAGUAGAACGCUGAAGGAGGAGCUUGCUUCUCUGGAUGAGUUGCGAACGGGUGAGUAACGCGUAGGUAACCUGCCUGGUAGCGGGGGAUAACUAUUGGAAACGAUAGCUAAUACCGCAUAAUAGUAGAUGUCGCAUGACAUUUGCUUAAAAGGUGCAAUUGCAUCACUACCAGAUGGACCUGCGUUGUAUUAGCUAGUUGGUGAGGUAACGGCUCACCAAGGCAACGAUACAUAGCCGACCUGAGAGGGUGAUCGGCCACACUGGGACUGAGACACGGCCCAGACUCCUACGGGAGGCAGCAGUAGGGAAUCUUCGGCAAUGGACGGAAGGCUGACCGAGCAACGCCGCGUGAGUGAAGAAGGGUGUCGGAUCGUAAAGCUCUGUUGUAAGAGAAGAACGAGUGUGAGAGUGGAAAGUUCACACUGUGACGGUAUCUUACCAGAAAGGGACGGCUAACUACGUG
rnacentral:rRNA from 1 species